rnacentral:rRNA from 1 species
UACAGAGGUCCCAAGCGUUGUUCGGAUUCACUGGGCGUAAAGGGUGCGUAGGUGGUGAGGUAAGUCGGAUGUGAAAGCUCGGAGCUCAACUCCGAAAUGGCAUUGGAAACUACCUUGCUCGUAGGGUGGAGGGGGGAUCGUGGGAAUGCUUGGUAGUAGCAGUGAAAUGCGUAGAUAAUCAAGCGGAACACCAGUGGGCGAAGGCCG